AAAUCGUCCCCUAAGUUUUGCAACUGUAGCAGUUUUGGCCCCCCAAGGCCAAUUUUUGGUAAAAAAAAUUAUUAAAAAAAAACAUGUGGCACCUCACUUAGGGUGUCACGUCAGCGUAGACCGGGUCAAAAUUAGCCUUGGGGGUCAAAAUUGCCACAUAUGCAAAACUUAGGGGACGGUUU
rnacentral:pre_miRNA from 1 species